rnacentral:rRNA from 1 species
AAUGAACGUUGGCGGCGUGGAUUAGGCAUGCAAGUCGAACGAGAACCUCGCAAGAGGGGAAAGUGGCAAACGGCGUAGUAAGGCGUAGGUGACGUACCCCGAGGUCUAGGAUAGCCAUGGGAAACCGUGGGUAAUACUGGAUGAUCUCUCCGAAUUUAGAUGUUUGGAGGGCAAAGGUGUGAUUCCACCUUGGGAGCGGCCUGCGUGGUAUUAGCUAGUUGGUGAGGUAACGGCUCACCAAGGCAACGAUGCCUAGGGGGUGUUAGCGCAUGACCCCCACGACUGGGACUGAGAUACUGCCCAGACACCUACGGGUGGCUGCAGUCGAGAAUCUUCGGCAAUGGGCGAAAGCCUGACCGAGCGACGCCGCGUGCGGGAUGAAGGCCCUUGGGUUGUAAACCGCUGUCAGAGGGGAUGAAAUGCGGGUGGGUUCUCCCAUCCGUUUGACAUAGCCUCAGAGGAAGCACGGGCUAAGUUCGUGCCAGCAGCCGCGGUAAAAC